GGGGACAUAGCUCAGCUGGGAGAGCAACAGACUGAAGUGAAACAGCUUCAACUUUCAUCAAUUGUGAUUUUCUGGAGGUCCCCAGUUCGAUCCUGGGUGUCCCCA